rnacentral:rRNA from 1 species
AYGGYGGAGACCUAGGCAUCAAGAUACGAUGAAGGGCGUUAUAACCGACGAAAUGCUUCGGGGAGCUGGAAAUAAGCUUUGAGCCGGAGAUUCCCGAAUAGGGCAACCUAAUAAAAUUAUAGUGAAUUCAUUAACUAUAAUUUGUCAAACCUAGCGAAUUGAAACAUCUUAGUAGCUAGAGGAAAAGAAAACAAACGUUAUUCCCUUAGUAGCGGCGAGCGAAAUGGGACCAAGCCUAAACGGAAGUGAAAAUUUCUCUUCCGGGUUGUGGGGCGCUAUAAAACAAUAAAAAACAAAGACUUACAUGAAGCAGCCGUAGGCUACCUGGAACUGGUGGACCAAAGAAGGUAAAAGUCCUGUAGUGAAAGAGCCCUUUGUUUAAUAACUUUAGCGAUCCCGAGUAGCAUGAGACACGUGAAAUCUCGUGUGAAUCUACGAGGACCACCUCGUAAGGCUAAAUACUCUGAAGUGACCGAUAGUGAAAAGUACCGUGAGGGAAAGGUGAAAAAGACUAAAUUGAAAAGAAUAUGAAAUCGUAAGCUUACAAGCAGUAGGAGAUCUUCAGGAUUGACUGCGUGCCUGUUGAAGAAUGAGCCGGCGACUUAGAGGUAGUGGCUUGGUUAAAAUCUAAACGAUUGAAGCCAAAGCGAAAGCGAGUCUGAAUAGGGCAUUGGUCCCUGCCUCUAGACCCGAACCCGAGUGAUCUAACCAUGGCCAGGAUGAAGCUUCGGUAAAACGGAGUGGAGGUCCGAACCGACUGGUGUUGAAAAACCAGCGGAUGAGCUGUGGUUAGGGGUGAAAUGCCAGUCGAACUCGGAGCUAGCUGGAUCUCCCUGAAAUGCGUUGAGGCGCAGCGAUAAGAGUUUAUGUCCGAGGGGUAAAGCACUGUUUCGGUGCGGGCUGCGAAAGUGGUACCAAAUCGUAGCAAACUCAGAAUACUUGGAUUAUAUGACCUUGUCAGUGAGACUAUGGGGGAGAAGCUUCAUAGUCGAGAGGGAAACAGCCCAGAUCACCAGUUAAGGCCCCAAAACGAUAGCUAAGUGGAAAAGGAGGUGGGCAUGCGAAGACAACCAGGAGGUUUGCCUAGAAGCAGCCAUCCUUGAAAGAGUGCGUAAUAGCUCACUGGUCAAGCGUUCCUGCGCCGAAAAUGAAUGGGACUAAGUUAUCUGCCGAAACUGUGAAAUCAAAAGACUUUUGAUUGGUAAGGGAGCGUUCUGAUCUGAGUGAUGUAUGUGCGUAAGCCCAUAUGGACGGAUCAGAAGUGAGAAUGUCGGCUUGAGUAACGUAAUUGAAGGUGUGAAUCCUUCACCCCGGAAACCCAAGGGUUCCUCCUCCAGGCUCGUCCAAGGAGGGUUAGUCAGGUCCUAAGGCAAGGCCAAACGGCGUAGUCGAUGGAAAACAGGUCAACAUUCCUGUACUUAAUAAAACUAGUUAAGCGAUAGCUAGGAGGUCGCGAUCAAGGGGGACGGAGGCUUGGAAAGGAGUCAAGGGAUCUAGGGGAUCAGAUCAGAGAGGGCUGAGUUCAAGGAGAUCUGAAAACCUAUUUUCAAGGCGGUAGUUGCUUGACUCAGAAGAUAUUGAGUGAUAAUUCUCUAAGCUUGCUUAGUGGGAGAAAACCGUUGAAUUAUCACUUGUAUCUACGCAAGAUUGAAGAGCCUUCCAAGAAAAGCCCGACCAUAGGCGACCUAUUAAUCUGUACCCUAAACCGACACAGGUGGGUGAGUUGAGAAUACGAAGGGGUUCGAGGUAACUCUCUCUAAGGAACUCGGCAAAAUGAUCUCGUAACUUCGGGAGAUGAGAUGCCUCUUAGGAGGUCGCAGUAACCAGGCCCAGGCGACUGUUUAUCAAAAUCACAGGUCUCCGCAAAGUCGCAAGACGAUAUAUGGGGGCUGACGCCUGCCCAGUGCCGGAAAGUGAAAGAAGUUGGUUCGCAUCUGCAAAGCUAGCGACUGAAGCUCCGGUGAACGGCGGCCGUAACUAUAACGGUCCUAAGGUAGCGAAAUUCCUUGUCGGGUAAGUUCCGACGCGCACGAAAGGCGUAACGAUCUGGGCACUGUCUCAGAGAGAGACUCGGUGAAAUAGAAAUGUCUGUGAAGAUGCGGACUACCUGCACUUGGACAGAAAGACCCUAUGCUGCUUUAAUUUAAUCAGGAAUUGGCUUCCAGCUGCCCUUGCGCAGCUUAGGUGGAAGGCGUUGACCAUUCAGUUCCGGCUGAUUGCGAGCCAACAGUGAGAUACCACUCCUGGAUAGCUAGAAGUCUCAAAGAGAUCCGUGAUCCGGAUCCUUCACAGUUUCUGACGAUAUUUUUCCUGGGGCGGGUGCCUCGCAAAAGGUAACCGAGGCGUACAAAGGUAUCCUCAGACUGGAUGGAAAUCAGUUGAAGAGUGUAAAGGCAAAGGAUGCUUGACUGCGAGACCUACAAGUCGAGCAGGGACGAAAGUCGGUCUUAGUGAUCCGAUGGGUCCGUGUGGAAGGACCAUCGCUUAUCGAAUAAAAGUAACGCUAGGGAUAACAGGCUAAUCACAUCCAAGAGUUCACAUCGACGAUGUGGUUUGGCACCUCGAUGUCGGCUCAUCGCAACCUGGUGCAGUAGUCUGUGCCAAGGGUUAGACUGUUCGUCUAUGAAAGCGGUACGCGAGCUGGGUUCAGAACGUCGUGAGACAGUUCGGUCCAUAUCCG